CAGGAGACCUACGAACACGGUCACCGCUACACCUACCCCACCUGCUCCACAAGCUCCACAUGCUCAGUGAAUGGAGGCAGUGUCAGGACAACGAUUCUGCACCACACUCAUCUGUAUUGCAAGAGGUUCUCCUAGCUGUAGCUGCCGCUUUUCAGCAAACUUAAGGAGCUGCUCAAUGGUGAUGCUGCGGAUAUCAACCUCCUCCUGCAGCCCCUGGCGCUCCUGUAAUAAGGCCACCAGCUCCUGCGAUGCAUCUGAAAACACCACACCAUAAGAAUCAGAUUUCCAAAAACUGUAGUGAUAAUUAAUAAAAGCUAGACUGUAUUGGUAAAAAGAGGCAAGUACAAUGGAGACUCAA